UGGGGAAUUUUGGACAAUGGGCGAAAGCCUGAUCCAGCAAUGCCGCGUGUGUGAAGAAGGCCUUCGGGUUGUAAAGCACUUUUGUCCGGAAAGAAAUCCUUGGCUCUAAUACAGUCGGGGGAUGACGGUACCGGAAGAAUAAGCACCGGCUAACUACGUGCCAGCAGCCGCGGUAAUACGUAGGGUGCAAGCGUUAAUCGGAAUUACUGGGCGUAAAGCGUGCGCAGGCGGUUUGCUAAGACCGAUGUGAAAUCCCCGGGCUCAACCUGGGAACUGCAUUGGUGACUGGCAGGCUAGAGUAUGGCAGAGGGGGGUAGAAUUCCACGUGUAGCAGUGAAAUGCGUAGAGAUGUGGAGGAAUACCGAUGGCGAAGGCAGCCCCCUGGGCCAAUACUGACGCUCAUGCACUAAAGCGUGGGGAGCAAACAGGAUUAGAUACCCUGGUAGUCCACGCCCUAAACGAUGUCAACUAGUUGUUGGGGAUUCAUUUCCUUAGUAACGUAGCUAACGCGUGAAGUUGACCGCCUGGGGAGUACGGUCGCAAGAUUAAAACUCAAAUGAAUUGACGGGGUCAUAGCUGUUUCCU
rnacentral:rRNA from 1 species